rnacentral:antisense_RNA from 1 species
GGGUGCUUGGAUCAUUUUGGUUCAAGCAGACAACAAGUUGUGAGACCAAAAAGACGAAAGCCCCGAGUUCCAUUAACAGUAACUCGAGGCAGUCUCCAACCCAACAAUUGGAUUCUGUCUCCUUUUUGUACAGGAGUCAAGAGGAAUGACCAAG